rnacentral:rRNA from 1 species
AGUGAACGCUGGCGGUAGGCCUAACACAUGCAAGUCGAACGGCAGCACAGUAAGAGCUUGCUCUUACGGGUGGCGAGUGGCGGACGGGUGAGGAAUACAUCGGAAUCUACUUUUUCGUGGGGGAUAACGUAGGGAAAAUUACGGUAAUACAGGAUACGACCUACGGGUGAAAGCAGGGGAACAUCGGACCUUGCGCGGUUGAAGGAGGCGAUGUCGGAUUAGCUAGUUGGCGGGGUAAAGGCCAAGCAAGGCGACGAUGCGGAGCUAGUCUGAGAGGAUGAUCAGCCACACUGGAGCUGCGCCACGGUCCAGACUCCUACGGGAGGCAGCAGUGGGGAAUAUUGGACAAUGGGCGCAAGCCUGCUCCAGCCAUACCGCGUGGGUCAAGAAGGCCUUCGGGUUGUAAAGCCCUUUUGUUGGGAAAGAAAAGCAGCAGGUUAAUACCCCGCUGUUCUGACGGUACCCAAAGAAUAAGCACCGGCUAACUUCGUG